CGCCAGACUCCUACGGGAGGCAGCAGUGGGGAAUAUUGCACAAUGGGGGAAACCCUGAUGCAGCGACGCCGCGUGAGUGAAGAAGUAUUUCGGUAUGUAAAGCUCUAUCAGCAGGGAAGAAAAUGACGGUACCUGACUAAGAAGCCCCGGCUAACUACGUGCCAGCAGCCGCGGUAAUACGUAGGGGGCAAGCGUUAUCCGGAUUUACUGGGUGUAAAGGGAGUGUAGGUGGCAUAACAAGUCAGAAGUGAAAGCCCGGGGCUCAACCGCGGGACUGCUUUUGAAACUGUUAAGCUUGAGUGCAGGAGAGGUAAGCGGAAUUCCUAGUGUAGCGGUGAAAUGCGUAGAUAUACGGAGGAACACCAGUGGCGAAGGCGGAUUGCUGGACAGUAACUGACGCUGAGGCGCGAAAGCGUGGGGAGCAAACAGGAUUAGAUACCCGCGUA
rnacentral:rRNA from 1 species